rnacentral:rRNA from 1 species
GGGAGUACGGUCGCAAGAUUAAAACUCAAAUGAAUUGACGGGGGCCCGCACAAGCGGUGGAGCAUGUGGUUUAAUUCGAUGCAACGCGAAGAACCUUACCUACUCUUGACAUCUACAGAAGCCAGCGGAGACGCAGGUGUGCCUUCGGGAACUGUAAGACAGGUGCUGCAUGGCUGUCGUCAGCUCGUGUUGUGAAAUGUUGGGUUAAGUCCCGCAACGAGCGCAACCCUUAUCCUUGUUUGCCAGCACUUCGGGUGGGAACUCCAGGGAGACUGCCGGUGAUAAACCGGAGGAAGGUGGGGACGACGUCAAGUCAUCAUGGCCCUUACGAGUAGGGCUACACACGUGCUACAAUGGCGCAUACAGAGGGCGGCCAACUUGCGAAAGUGAGCGAAUCCCAAAAAGUGCGUCGUAGUCCGGAUUGGAGUCUGCAACUCGACUCCAUGAAGUCGGAAUCGCUAGUAAUCGUGGAUCAGAAUGCCACGGUGAAUACGUUCCCGGGCCUUGUACACACCGCCCGUCACACCAUGGGAGUGGGCUGCAAAAGAAGUGGGUAGCUUAACCUUCGGGAGGACGCUCACCACUUUGUGGUUCAUGACUGGGGUGAAGUCGUAACAAGGUAACCG